CAGAAAUGCAAAAUGGCAUUGUACAACACUUACAAAAAAGUAUUUGAAAAUCUUUUGAGAAAUAUAUUUUAAAGCACAGCACUUGAAGAGUUCCAAAUUAACUUUGUUUGUGAUGUCAUAUUACUACUAUUGGUCAUGCUUUCUCAUCAGAACUAACCUCCAAGGAUUCAGCAUAAUGUCGCCGUGUGACUCUUUACAGCCAACAGGAUCGGCAGUGUUAAAUUGGAAAAGGAUAUCACUCUGCCAUUGCCGGAGAUCAUUUGUUAAAGGAUGCAAAGCAACUAAAAUGCACUUCUACCACCUCUUUUGGUCAAUUUUACUCAAAGGCCCCUUCUAAAAACACUAAGAGCAAGAGAAGCUUAAGGAGAGUUUUAAACCUGACAUAGAAACAAGUAAUGAUAGACUUCUGGACAAAAAGAAGGCAGGAAAACUCAAGAAAAUUGCUCUAGUCCAGCUUUUGUCUCAGAGCUGUAACCUCAACUUGGUAAUCAGUCAUAGUCAGUUCCUUCAUGAAUGAGGACUUUCACCUACUUUCUUCUCCAUUUUCCUCCUUGGGCAUAAUUUUAAUUCUAUUUAAGUAGAGUCUUUUCCAUCAUUGUAUAUUUCACUGUAAAUCACCGUGUUACUUAAACUAUUAAAACUGCACAACUACACAAGUCCUUGAAAAUGGGUGCUACAUUAUGUGUUGGGCUUGUCUUAUCACUUACUGUACAGUUUAGAGAUAAUAAAUCUAAUUGAUUCUCCCUUCUGUUAUCUAAACACCAGAGUCCGGCACAAACUGUGCAGCAAUAUUUAAAUGACCACAACACAAAGUCAACAUGAUGCUGUGGAAAAGAAUAGAGCAAUAUUCUUAAUUCUGAAAACCUGUAUUGGUAAUCAAUUGAAAUGUUGGAGCAAUUGAAGAGCUGUCCAAUUUUCAAUUGCAGUAUAAGUUGGGAAACAAUUUGAAAAUAAUGGCUCAUACAAAGAGUUUUUGAAACAGUCAAUAUGGUCUUCAUGUGAAGGACAAAUAAGAAUUUGGCAGUCUACCCAUUGUUUGGUCUUUAUGCAUUAGACAUUAUCUGCAGGACUCACCGCAGUGGCCCAGCUAAGAUCAGAGCUUGCAAUCUUUCAGUGUGACUCCCAUGAAAAUGUACUUAGAGGGAUAUUCAUUAUGGACACAUAGACAAAGAAUGUGUUGUAGCCUCACUUUGAUCAUUGUUGCUGACAUACAUUCAACAAACACUUGCUUUAGUGAGCUGAUGCACAUUUGAAAUGUUUAAUACCUGUGGUAUGUCAUUCUAAUAUUACUGUGUUGCACAUAGUGUGGUUUACUGAUGUCAAAAUAAAAUUUUCUGCCCAGCAAAUAUUAUGAUUUGGAGGCAACAUUUAUGCAGCUCUUCUUUGAUGUAAAUGAUCACUUCCAAACGUUGGCUCUUAACAUGAAUAAAGACACAAAUAUGUCAUUCCAUCUGUGGAUUUUCUUUAAAAAAUUUUAGAGGUUUAGACCAGCAGUACUCUAGUCUGUGUUAAUUUCCAUGGGAACUGCUGGCUGCAAGCUAGGUAUUUUUCACAUCACAUCCUUCAGAUGGUUAUCUCUGGUGUGACUGAGGAACUCACUUGACACCUUGAGCUUCUUAUCCUUCUCUGAGAUAAUCAGUGUCCAUCACCACAAGAACUGGGCCUUGACACAGAGACUCCAAAGGCAAGGACCAACAUGGUGAGGUACAUAGAGCAGGACUGAGAAUUCAGGAAAGUAAUGUUACACUCAUUAAUCCUUCUUAGUGUUUUGUUGUGUCUGUCCCAUGAAAAGGACAUUUUUAGAAAUGAAGAUGAGGAUCUAAACUUUGCCAGAUGCAUUUUGGUAAUCAGACAAUUCUUUAAUUUUCACAACAUAAAAGAAAACUCCAAGAAUGCUGUCUUUUCCAAGAACUUAAAAUAAUUUAAAAUAAAAAUGCUAAUGAAUUACAAAAAAAA